GAACGAGAACGGGAGCUGAACCAGCUGUCUUUCCAGCCAAUUAGUGAGAACGCCUGGCUGAAAAGGAGCAACUCCGAUUCAUCAUUAACAAGCGUAAGUUUGUCAUACUUUAUCUGUUAGACAAUAAAAAAGAAAACAUCGAGUUUAUCAGCUAUAUUGAGGAAGGUGUGGCUGAUGUACUAAAGUAGAUAAGUUAUAACAAACUGAGCUGUUUACGCUCUCACUGAUUCUUAGUGAUUUUAAUUAAAAUCACAUAAUUAACAAAGGUUGGAUUUCUGCUGCAGAAAAGGUUCUAAAAUAGUAAACAUGCAACAGUUCAGCACUUUCUAGUGGAUAAAACCCGCUGGUGGGACCUUGUAACACCUUGUUGGCUGUUGUUCUCAUUAGCUUUUUUUUGCAAGUUAACUUGUAUAAACUUUAGCAGCGAAGGACCCCUGCUGGCUCUUCAUCACCUACCUUGUCAGUUGCAAGAUCUAAAAGGAAGGUUUGUUGGCCUCCCGUGCAGCCGUCUGAUGUGAGUCUGUGAUGUGGAAUCAAAACAAACUGCACCGAGUUUUCACCCUCUAAAGGUCUAAAUACAAUUCUAUUCAGUUGUGGUUCUUCUAUAUUAGGUUUCAUUUAAAAGUGGUCCAACUUGAGUUAUUCCACAUUUAGAGAUAAUUUUUAUCAAAAUCCUUUUGAGGUGUGUGGUUUACUUUUGGUAUUUUGCACCUUAGUAAGAGUGUGGUGUGGUUUGUGGGAAGUUGAAAGCUCACCGAAAAGCAUGAAAACAGUAUUUGGAUGAGUCAUGCACCACUUUCUGUCCAUUUUAAGAUUAUUUUCAUUGUAAUGUCAAUUUAGAGGGACUCACCUGGUUACUCGGCACUGUUUCACCUUCUUUGUAGCUUCUAAAAACAAUAUCCAGUGUUUGUCUUUUAUUUCCUUUCUGCCCAGUUUCCCUUAAUGCAUUCCUUUUCACUUAGAAGCUGUUUAUUUACAUCCUGAUGCUGCUGUUCUCUAUCCAGCAGGUUCAUGAUGAUGAUGAUGAUGAUGAUACUGAGAUGAAAGAUGGCAGUUUCAUUGAAAUGCUUAAAUCAGCCACAGAGGGGCCUGCAAAUCCCGCUGACGAUGGAUUGAGCUCUCACGAUGAGACCGGGACCGCUGAAGUAAUCGACAAGAUGUUUGAAGAGGUGCUGGAAUGUGCCGGAAAUGUGGAAGAAAAGGAGCGAGUGGAUGAAGAUGCAGAGGACUGCGAUAGUGGUAUCGGUGCUUGCUCUGGAGAUAAAGACAAGAUGGACACCGACGUGCAGAAGGAGACGAGUGAAGAAGCAACAGAAGAGGGGAAGAAUGAAAGCAACAAGCUGGACAGUUAUGGAGAUGAGCUGCUGACCUUUCCUCCAAGCGUCAUCCUCUCUCCUCUCAGCAAGUCUGUAGAAGCUGCGGUCACCCCGAUGCGGCUGGCAGCAGCUCAGGAGUCAAGCUCUUCAUCGUUGCUCCUGACUCCAGAAGAAACCAGCACCCCUCCGGCUGACUUCGCUCCACUUUACAGGUACCUCGUUUUGGUUUUACAGAACAAAAAGGAGGACAAGCUCGUAAAAAGCUUUGUUUUUAUUUUACAAGUGGGUCUCUAA
ensembl:lncRNA